rnacentral:tRNA from 1 species
ACCCUGGUGGCUCAAUGGUUAAGCACUCGGCUGCCAGCUGAAAGGUUGUUGGUUCAAACCUAUCCCGCGGUU